GGACAUGAGUGGGGAAAGAUGUGCACUGCCAGGGCCCAGCAUAAUUCCUUCUCACACACCUGAAUGGAGCAGAGGAAUUGUAUGCCAUGAGUGCCUGUUUCCAUCAAUAAAGUACUCAGACUAAAUGCAAGGAGCAGAACAUUCUUGCUGCAAUGCUGCCUCCAAGUCACCCCAACACAUGCCAAGCAAUUAUCACAUCCCAUUUCUGGAGGUUCCAGAGGCUUUCAGAAUUAUCCAGAAGGAACUGAAAAAUAGUGGUCUGGAUUCACUCUUCUUCUGUUUAGAAGUUUAGCUUGGCGUGUUUGCAGUAUGUAUGCUACACGAUAUGGAAGCACUUAUCCCAAAGAAACGAGGAAUGUAGAGUCUUCAGCCUGGGAAAGAUCUGGUAGAGGUGUGUACAAUUGUCCCUCAGAGAAGCUGAAUUGGAAACAGCUGAUCACAUUCUCUCACUUUUAUCAAGAGUGGAACUCAUCAACUGAGAUAAACUGAUGGCAGAUUCCAAAGAAACACGAGAGUUGCCUAAUGGCUCAAUUUAUGCACGAUUUUAUACAAUCCCACAAGGCCUUCAGGGAAGAAGGGAUGCACAGCAAUUGGAAGGCUGCUUCCUCAUGCCCCCUCACAGGCCUGGAGACACAGCUAGCACCAGAGCUCACACGUGUGGAGUCCUAACCCAGUGCCUCACAAGCCCCACUGUCUCUGCUGCAAGAAAAUACAGAACACUCUUGUCUAAGCAAACAGCAUUGUUUUCAAAGACAAUUUGCCAGCAUGAGCUUUCCUGUAAAAGGAACCAUUUUAUUAGCACUCUGGGUGGGAUGUCAUCCUACAGUGGGAUCUCUCCCAUGGAGCCAUCUAACCUAUCCUUAAACUUUAGGUGCUGCGUGUUACUGACGUUCCCAAGAGAGUGCCUCAGUCCUGUCAGAGUGUUGAUGUAGAUGAUGGAAUCUGGUAGUAAGCAAUGCAGAGACACAUGUGGUAGGUGACAGCAUUUUUCCAUCUGGAGAAAAAUAAAAUUUCCAUGUGUCUUUGUCA
rnacentral:lncRNA from 1 species